rnacentral:rRNA from 1 species
CUGAUUAGGUAAUUGGUGAGGUAACGGCUCACCAGGCCGACGAUCAGUAACUGGCGUGAGAGCGCGACCAGUCACACGGGCACUGAGACACGGGCCCGACUCCUACGGGAGGCAGCAGUAAGGAAUAUUGGUCAAUGGACGCAAGUCUGAACCAGCCAUGCCGCGUGAAGGAUGAAGGUCCUCUGGAUUGUAAACUUCUUUUAUCUGGGACGAAAUCACCUUUUUCUAAGGGUGUUGACGGUACCAGAGGAAUAAGCACCGGCUAACUCCGUGCCAGCAGCCGCGGUAAUACGGAGGGUGCAAGCGUUAUCCGGAUUCACUGGGUUUAAAGGGUGCGUAGGCGGAUUUGUAAGUCCG